UAAUAGCUAAAGGGGGAAUCUUUAGAGCUAGGGGUAACAACUGGGCUGAGAUAAAAGAAGGAGGAUUGAAGCUUAAUUUGCACAAUAAACAAGGCUUGGCACCUAUCAUCCAUCCUCCAGGCUUUGUCGGUAGUCUCCUUAGCAUAAUUCCAAGUCAGAACUAUCAUCAAAGCAUCACUGAAAAGAUGAAUGAUAUUAUGAUGAAGAAAAUUACCUUCAUUGUUGAUAGGAUCAUCUCAGUCCAUUAAGUAGUCCUGUCUGAGAUCAUCAGGUCCCGCCUGGUGGACAAGCCUCUGCGUGCUCUCGAGUCACUGGAAAACUGGGAGGAUUCUGAACAGCAGCUUGUUCUGGAAAUGGCAGGUUUCUGGUAGCCUUGUGAAUCUACAUGGACCCUCUUACUGUUCCUACCAUAGGCCACAAACGCGACCACUUGCAGUGACUUUGCAUUUGCUGUUGUUCUGUCGGGAAGUCUCACUCCAGACAGCUGCAGG